rnacentral:rRNA from 1 species
UACGUAGGGUGCAAGCGUUGUCCGGAAUUAUUGGGCGUAAAGAGCUCGUAGGCGGUCUGUCGCGUCUGCUGUGAAAACUCGGGGGCUUAACCCCGGGCCUGCAGUGGGUACGGGCAGACUAGAGUGCGGUAGGGGAGACUGGAAUUCCUGGUGUAGCGGUGGAAUGCGCAGAUAUCAGGAAGAACACCGGUGGCGAAGGCGGCUCUCUGGGCCUUACCUGACGCUGAGGAGCGAAAGCGUGGGUAGCGAACAGG